UUAGAACGCUGCCGAAGACAGUAGGUGCCGUAUGGCAUAAGGUUUAAAACGCCUACCGAGGAAUAAGUAUUCUUAUAAGAGAUUACUGGAACCUUACUGUCAUGCAGUAAGGUUUUUAUAUU
rnacentral:sRNA from 1 species